rnacentral:rRNA from 1 species
CCCUUAGAUGUUCUGGGCUGCACGCGCGCUACACUGAAGCUAUCAACACGUUUUCCCUCCCUGAGAAGGGCGGGUAACCUUUUGAAUCAGCUUCGUGGUAGGGAUCGGGGCUUGCAAUUGUUCCCCGUGAGCCAGGAAUUCCUAGUAGACGCGAGUCAUAAGCUCGCAUCGAUUAAGUCCCUGCCCUUUGUACACACCGCCCGUCGCUACUACCGAUUGAACGUUUUAGUGAGGCAUUUGGACCGACGCAUCUCAGUUUAACCGCUGGUUUGUGUUGGAAAGACUUCCAAACUUGAGCGUUUAGAGGAAGUAAAAGUCGUAACA